rnacentral:rRNA from 1 species
UACGAAGGGGGCUAGCGUUGCUCGGAAUGACUGGGCGUAAAGGGCGCGUAGGCGGAUGGCACAGUCAGAUGUGAAAUUCCCGGGCUUAACCUGGGGGCUGCAUUUGAUACGUGUUGUCUUGAGUUCGGAAGAGGGUCGUGGAAUUCCAGGUGUAGCGGUGAAAUGCGUAGAUAUCUGGAGGAACACCGGUGGCGAAGGCGACAUCCUGGACCGGUAUUGACGCUGAGGCGCGAAAGCCAGGGGAGCAAACGGG